rnacentral:rRNA from 1 species
CCUACGGGAGGCAGCAGUGGGGGAUAUUGCACAAUGGGGGGAACCCUGAUGCAGCGACGCCGCGUGGGUGAAGGAGUGCUUCGGCAUGUAAAGCCCUAUCGGCAGGGACGAAGCAAGACGGUACCUGACUAAGAAGCCCCGGCUAAAUACGUGCCAGCAGCCGCGGUAAUACGUAGGGGGCGAGCGUUAUCCGGGUUCACUGGGUGUAAAGGGAGCGUAGACGGCCAUGCAAGCCAGGGGUGAAAGCCCGGGGCCCAACCCCGGGACUGCCCUUGGAACUGUGCGGCUAGAGUGCGGGAGGGGCAGGCGGAAGUCCUGGUGUAGCGGUGAAAUGCGUAGAUAUCAGGAGGAACACCGGCGGCGAAGGCGGCCUGCUGGACCGCGACUGACGUUGAGGCUCGAAAGCGUGGGGAGCGAACAGGAUUAGAUACCCUAGUAGUC